CGCUUUCUCCACCCGAGAGAGCGGGAACGACAACCAAAGAAAAUAAUAAAACUGGCUUCCAAAGCCGUCCGAUCUCCCCGGUGCUCCAUCUCUCCACGUCUUUUCCCCUUCCCCUACCUCCCCCACCCCCCCCCGGUCUCCCGAUGACCACCGAGGGUUACCUCCUCGGCUCGCCGGAGCUCGGCCCCCUUCGGCGUCUCCGCCGCCCCUCGGCGCCUCCAUUCCCGUCCUCCGACUUAGAUCUAUGACCCGGCGUCCGGAUCUCCCCCAUUCCUUCUUCUACGGUGUACAUAUACGGCAGACAGGGUGAAGCCAGGCAGCAGCAGUCUUUAUAUCGGCCGCUAACAUAUGUACCUUUUUGGUCAGGUGCAUUGUGACCCGGUGCUUGGCCGGUUGGCAGCUGGUAGGCAUCCCUCUCCUCUUAGGGAGGUCCAGGGUUCAAACCCUGGUGGGGGCAUCCACCACAUCUCAAGAAAAAAGGUCAGGUGUGUCAAAAAACUCUGCACCUUGACAUGCUAGAUUGAUAUCUUUUUUUGAGGAAGUGUGUCAGACAUCUUGAUUACUCAUCUGGAUCAGUUUCCACUUCUGGACUGGAACCAUCGCAUCAUGGAGAAUAUGGAGAAUGUUUUGGCUGGAAUCAUGCUUUGAAAACAGUUGUUUUAGCUCUUCGUUUGGGUGUAUAUUUUGGCAUCAUCUUCUGCGACCUUGUUAACACAUUAAAGUGACUGUUGUUUAAGAUUGUCUGCCUGCCAUAUCUCAGAAAUUACUGUGAGCUUCAUUUUCCGUUUUCCCUCUGUAUUGCUUAGUUUUGCACAGCCAUCAUUCAACAUCUUGUCCAAAUACUUUAGACAUAUCACCAACAAGCAACUCAGUUAUUGCUUCAUGAACAAA